rnacentral:siRNA from 1 species
UUGAAGACAUAAUCCACAGCU